rnacentral:snRNA from 1 species
GAAUGGUGACCUGAGCUCUCACUAUUGCCUUGAAUUAAGAAAUUGAUCUGGCUGGCUAGGUUAGGUGGGUGUUCCCUUCCUCCCUCACUGCUCCAUGUGAGUCCCUCCAAAGCUGUGUGUCCCUCCGGAAGUUGCACACUCCUUCGAAAAGAACAGCCUUCCCCAAAUAGAGAGGGACUGGUCUUUGGUCAAGGGUAUAAGAGUAGCUGCGUUCCCCGGUGGAACUUCCAAACAAGCUCUCAAAAUAUUGAGUUCCUCAUCACGCAAACAUUAAUAGAGCAUGUUCUGAAAGGGUAAGAAGUUGCCCCUGGAAAUGGACAAUCAAAGGUUUU